CGGGGCGUAGCGCAGCCUGGUAGCGCAUCUGCUUUGGGAGCAGAGGGUCGUGAGUUCGAAUCCCACCGCCCCGA
rfam:Achromobacter piechaudii ATCC 43553 genomic scaffold SCAFFOLD1, whole genome shotgun sequence.